AACGCUGGCGGCGUGCCUAAUACAUGCAAGUCGAGCGAGCUGAAUUCAAAGAUUCCUUCGGGAUGAUUUGUUGGACGCUAGCGGCGGAUGGGUGAGUAACACGUGGGCAAUCUGCCCUAAAGACUGGGAUACCACUUGGAAACAGGUGCUAAUACCGGAUAACAACAUGAAUCGCAUGAUUCAAGUUUGAAAGGCGGCGCAAGCUGUCACUUUAGGAUGAGCCCGCGGCGCAUUAGCUAGUUGGUGGGGUAAAGGCCUACCAAGGCAAUGAUGCGUAGCCGAGUUGAGAGACUGAUCGGCCACAUUGGGACUGAGACACGGCCCAAACUCCUACGGGAGGCAGCAGUAGGGAAUCUUCCACAAUGGACGCAAGUCUGAUGGAGCAACGCCGCGUGAGUGAAGAAGGUCUUCGGAUCGUAAAGCUCUGUUGUUGGUGAAGAAGGAUAGAGGCAGUAACUGGUCUUUAUUUGACGGUAAUCAACCAGAAAGUCACGGCUAACUA
rnacentral:rRNA from 1 species